UGUGUAGGCGGUUUCGUAUGUCGGGUGUGAAAGCCCAUGGCUCAACCAUGGAAUUGCAUCCGAAACUGCGGGACUAGAGUACAGUAGGGGAGAGCGGAAUUCUAGGUGUAGCGGUGAAAUGCGUUGAUAUCUAGAAGAACACCGGUGGCGAAGGCGGCUCUCUGGAAUGUUACUGACGCUGAGACACGAAAGUCGGGGGAGCAAACAGGAUUAGAUACCCUGGUAGUCC
rnacentral:rRNA from 1 species